CAGUAGCCGCGGUAAUACGAAGGGGGCUAGCGUUGCUCGGAAUGACUGGGCGUAAAGGGCGCGUAGGCGGCGAUCAAAGUCAGGCGUGAAAUUCCUGGGCUCAACCUGGGGGCUGCGCUUGAUACUUGGUUGCUUGAGUGGGGAAGAGGGUCGUGGAAUUCCCAGUGUAGAGGUGAAAUUCGUAGAUAUGCGGAGGAACACCGAUGGCGAAGGCAAUCCCCUGGGCCUGCACUGACGCUCAUGCACGAAAGCGUGGGGAGCAAACAGGAUUAGAUACCCCGGUAGUCCCUGUCUCUUAUAC
rnacentral:rRNA from 1 species